ACUCAUGAGUACCUUUUAUUGUGUCUACGGUGUGGUAUGGGGUACGGUUGGUCAGUACGGGUGUCGUGGAUGUUGACGAUGUUAUAUUUGUGAUCCGUAAAGAAGCGCAAGAUCGGCCGGGAAAAAGCAUCAUCGACAUUCCUGAUGUGGUGGUUUAUUUCGCUCGGACGAUGGGAAAUAACAGGAUAAUGGAGCGCUCGGUGUAGUUUUCCCAUCACAUUUUGUCCGCAUUGUCUGGGUAAUGGCGAUGGUAGGGGCUCGAACCAGUAGGCACAUGAUGGCUUUCCCGGGGAUGGCCUCUGCUACAUCGCAACAGGCUAUCUUAGCCGCUGCCCAACCCUAUUACCAAUCUUCCCAAAACAUCCAGCCGGACAGACCUAUUGGUUACGGAGCUUUCGGAGUCGUGUGGUCUGUUACAGAUCCAAGAGAUGGAAAAAGAGUAGCUUUGAAGAAAAUGCCAAAUGUCUUCCAGAAUCUUGUCUCUAGUAAACGUGUUUAUAGGGAGAUCAAAAUGCUCUGCUAUUUUAAACACGAAAACGUUUUGUCAGCUUUGGAUAUCCUUCAGCCACCGCACAUUGACUUCUUUCAGGAAAUAUAUGUUAUUACUGAACUCAUGCAAAGUGAUCUCCAUAAAAUCAUUAUUUCUCCACAACCCCUUACUACUGACCACAUCAAAGUCUUUCUUUAUCAGAUACUCAGAGGCCUCAAAUACCUUCAUUCGACACAUAUCUUGCAUCGAGAUAUCAAACCUGGUAAUCUGUUAGUCAAUAGUAACUGUGUACUCAAGAUAUGUGACUUUGGCUUAGCCCGUGUUGAAGAGCCAGAUGAGAGCAAACAUAUGACCCAAGAAGUUGUCACUCAAUACUAUCGUGCUCCGGAAUUACUCAUGGGUGCCCACCACUACACAUCUGCCGUUGAUAUCUGGUCUGUUGGAUGCAUAUUUGCUGAACUACUUGGAAGACGAAUACUGUUUCAAGCACAAACACCCAUCCAGCAGCUGGAACUCAUCACAGAUCUUCUGGGCACUCCCUCACUGGAAGAUAUGAAGUUGGCUUGCGAAGGAGCCCGUGCCCACAUGACUCACCGACCACAUAAACCUCCAUCGCUUGCUGCUCUAUAUACUCUCUCUUCACAAGCGACACAUGAGGCUGUACAUCUGUUAUGUCAGAUGCUAGUUUUUAAUCCAGAUAAAAGGAUUUCUUGUACUGAUGCCUUGUCUCAUCCCUAUUUGGAAGAGGGAAGACUCCGAUAUCAUUCCUGUAUGUGCUGCUGCUGUCAAACGACAACUGCGGGACGACAUUAUGUGUCUGAUUUCGAACCCAUUGCUCCUCAUCCAUUUGAUGAUUCAUUUGAAAGAAACUUAUCAUCUGUACAUCAAGUAAAAGAACGCUUGCAUAAAUUUAUCUUGGAGAGAUGUGCAAAUUCCACUCGUGUACCCCUAUGUAUAAAUCCCCACUCAGCAGCAUUCAAAAGUUUUGCCACUUCCUGCUGACGUAACUACUCCUUGAAAGUCGUUUUUGUUUUUUCAACCGGUGUGAAACGAUAUCCAGCCAAGCGGUCUUUCGACAAUGGAAAAAGGAGAAAAUUGUUAAGAUCAAAAUCUGGAUAGGGAAAAUGUUUGAAAAUUUUUCAUUCAAACUGCUAUAGUGAGUCCAUUGUAGCACAUAUGGCUAUGAAUUUUUUUGAAGGAAAUAAUUCUUCGGCGAAGAAAUAUCACAUGCAAAUACUAUUGCUAUAUAUCAGCGAGCACUCAAAGUAUCUACUGCUAAACUUCUUUAUUUGCAAAAAUUUGAACAAUUGGAAUUCUUUGUGGCAUUCAGCAUAACUUAGCUGUUACACUGAAUUAUCACUUCACAACUUGAUGUAUUUAAGGGCUAUGCUGUAAUGCAUUCUAAGUACAAUGCUAUAAAUAUGUAUAUACUACUACUGCACUUCCUGCAGUUCAACUGUUGCUCAUCCAUCAGAACUGCCACCUUCUCCACAUCAAUGGGAAUGAAAUUAGUCUGAACAAUACACUUUUGCCAAAUAAAUGCUCUAGCAGUCAAAUGAGUGUUUGCUAUGCAACAUCUUUGUUUUUAGUCUAAGAGGUCUCAUUUAGAAUUGUCUCCAGACCUCUUAAUUUAUUUCUACAUUUCUACUGACUCUUCCUUUAAUUUUUUUUGCAUGUUUUUUUAAUUAUUAUUUAAUUUAAAUGGUGGUCAAAUUGAAAGCAGCUACAUCAUACUGCUGUUACAGAAUUUGUACCGUCGACAGCAUGCAGCUGAUAUUCCACCCAAGACUGUUUCUUAUGUGUUACUAAUAGUCCAUGUUUUCAAGAAUGUUAGAUUAUGUCGCAUUUUGCAGUUUAUGGAGGAGCGCUGACAUCUUUUUGGAUCUGUUGGAAUGCAGAAUGUUACACUCUUGCAUCGGUAUCACUGACUAUAACCGCAAUUGCAUUUGUUGCGGAAGACCCAGCAAAGAAGAAACUCGAAUGCCACCAGUUAUGUAAAAUGACAGUUUUAAAGCUCCCAAAAUGCAGAAACUGCCAAAAAUUUCAGAGAUAUUUGACUGACAAUUUGUGAAAGUUAAGUGUGAUAUGGAAUCUCCAAGUAUUUAACUAUUUGUGAUCUUAGGAAGAUAUUCGACAUAUUGCCAUACGUUGUUUUUUUGACAUUUGGAUUGUGUCGCUAUAACUACAUUGUAUUGUUUGGUAUAGGUAUCGAUGCAAAAUUUAAUCUGUGGAUGCACAAUGUAUCAAUGUUAGAGUAAAGCACGGAGACAAAGAAUAUAUAAAAGGAAAACGUAACGUGGUUGGAAAAAUUGGCUGCGUUACAUAUCUCUACAAUAAGGAAUAGGGAAUUUGGUUAAAUUAGAUAGUUUUUUUUGUGUUGUUGCUCACAUCAUCACAAUUUUCAUCAUUGUAAUUCAUAAUGCAUAUUUGUAUAUACUCAUCCACUUGUGACUAAUUUCUCUGCAGCAGGGAUACACUCGCCACACUUUAUAUUAUCAGUGUGGCUGUAUUGUCCUUUUAUGGAUAUAUAUCUCGUUUUUUUUUUUUUCCUUUUCAUUAGCAGGAGUGUCAAAUGAACCACUCAAACGACACUCGCCUGUUUCGUAUUGAAAAAUUAAAUCAUACAUUGUAUGAAUUUUGUUCAGAAUGGGAAAUUUAUUUUAUUCCUGUUGUUUAAUGGAAAAGCUAAUUUAAUCCAAACGAAUAUUUGCAAAGCCGCCAAUGAAAGAUUAACCAAAUGCAACAGGAAUUAUAUUCAAUAGAUUUUAAAAUAUUAAUAAUAACCAGUAAUUAAAAUUUAUUUCAAUUUAUUUAUGAUUAUGUGUGUGUGUAUGUGUGUAUAUAUGUGUAUAUAUAUAUAUUAUAUAGGGUAUAUAUAUAUAUUCAUAUAUUCCUUUGUAUGUUUAUGUUGCUCUAUUUUAUUAGUUCGCAUCGAAUGCAAUCAGAAAUUAUGAUUUUAAUCACGUUACUGCAUUCCAGAUUUGCAUACUGAAAACUUUUUUAAAAUAUUUAAAUUAUUAAGUCCCUUUAUUAAUCAGUUCUCAUUUACUUUCAUUUGGAUCUCAUUGAAAAUUCAAAAUUGCUAACGUUAAUGCAGGUCUGAUUAGAUCUUUUCUGUUGUGGGCAUUUGUCGCUGUGAUUCCAUUGUGCACAUUAAUCUAGUGAUUUUUUUUAAUGGUCAGUACAUCGAAAAGCAUCCUAUUUAUACAGUAUUUGUUUUAAAAUGCAGUAUAUUUAGCAAUGUAUUAGUGCGUUGAGUUUUUUCCAAACGAAAACCUUAAGCAAAACCUGAUUACUAUCUCGAAAAUUCCAGUUUGAUAAAAUGAGCUUUUCAGUUAUUGCCUUAUCACUGUGACGUAACGAUUGUGAUCAGGUUUGGACACAUUGUGUUUUUAUUCUCGAUGCCACACUUGCUUUGGGAGAAUGCCUCACUUUAGCUUUCAUCAAAAUUAUAUUUUAAGUAAAUAUUGAAUUGUGUAUCCAUUAAACUACUGACCCAAAGCAUUCCAUUUACAGUUUAUCAAAAUAUUAAGGUGUAUUUUAUUCCGUGAUUCGUACAAGUCGAGCAGACAUAAGGUAAUAGUUUAAGUCAGUAUGCCAUUAUUAUUAUCAAUAACUAAUAUAAAACAAGGGCCGGCAUAAGUGAAGCGCCAAAUUAAUGUAGUUUUCCUAAUAACACUGCAAUAGCUUGGUUAAUUGUACUUAUUUAUUAAAUCUAAAACUAAAAAGCAAAAAAAUGAUUAAUGCAAUUGUAUGUAUCAAUCAUAUUAUUCUAGUGAUUUAGUUUUCUUCAUAUUUCAACUGUACAUUUCUAAUCUAAGAAACAAUUUCUGUGAGUGUUGAGUAUUGGCUAUGGGAUUGGGUUCUCGUGAGAAUAUAUAUCAGUAUUUGUGCAUUCCCAUUCUCGGUCCAUUUGUUGUGAUAAUUGUAGUUAUCUCUUGCCUAGAUAGGCAUUUGUGAAUACCUCAUGUAAGGCAUAAGAAAAAUAAGAAUUAUAUGGUGUAGCUAAUUGGAACUAUCAAAUAUUUACGUGCUGUUGGCAAAGAUCAACUUCUAAAGUCUCGAAUAUAUCCACUCUUUGAUUCCAUUAAUGUAUUUGUUCUUUAAUAGAUUUAUUGACUUGAAAAAUUUUUGGGGAUUUAGGUCUAUAAUCACUUCUUGCCACGGCAUAUUUAGGCUAUAAUAAUAAUAUCCAUCGUGCACUCGUGUAGAAUAGUUCUUUGUUCCGAAUUUCAUUCGUUUCCACCGUGGGUACGUAGCGAGUUCCACCGUAUUAGUCGGUGCCGAGCGGAAUAGACUGCCGCUAAUUACGAAAAGUUACCACAGUUGUUGUAGAAAUUGAGAUGGAAAAAAAUAUCAAUACUUAAUACAAAUCAGAUUGUACAGGUUACUUGAUUUAUUAUUGUUAGGUGAAAAUCAGCUUAAAACUUCCUAUAGAAAAAAAAACAAACUCUUUGCUUGUGAGAUUGAAACUCACUGAACAAAAUCCAAGUGCUGAUGUAUGCACAAACAGUAUUUUCCAGUGGUUCUUUUCACAUUUGAAAGGAAAUAACUGCAGAUAUUCCUUGCUGUAAAUAGUAGACAUUUAUCUGUAUGCUUAAUACCUGCAGUUUUCCAUGUUGUUAACGUGUAGUGAUUGGCACAAUUUGUUGUGGCAUUUUUUGUCACAAAAUAAAAAUUCCUUCCAAUGUAACACUGCCAUUCACUGGUCUGCGAUUGGUGACAUCAUGAUCUCACCCCUAUCACUAAAUCGGUAUUCACUCUUGUACAGUAUGUAAUGCCAGCAUUUGUUUUAAACCGUUUUCAUUUAACGUUCAUUUCAUUAAACCGUUCGUUGAGGAUCUUUUCAAAAACUAAACGCUCGAAAGCGAAAGAACGCUCGGAAAGCACAAAGCUCAAGAAAUUCCGGCCUUUUCGGUUUAAAUUAACAGUUUUACGAAGACGUAAUUAACGUUCCUGAAAAUUAAAGCACCACGGAUUGGUGCGCUGUAAAGAAAACACACACAAAAGAAACAAAUGCUGGCAAAUAUUAAUUUAGAAAAGUUAUACCUACUGUAUGCAAUGUUCAUUUGUUAGUAGGUAAGAUUUUUUCAUUGGAAGGGGACCUAUCUGUACAGUACCUGGCAAUACAUUUAUGUAUUACCACAUACAGUUGCCUUCUGUAACCAAUGUGCCCUUUCUAGAAAUUCUCUGGUGUUUUAGUAGAUUAGAUUGGUGUUGGAAGUAUGAAGGUGCAGGUUUGCCAAUAUUAGUAGAAUGGAAAGAGAAAAUAAAAAAACUUUAACUGCGCAUCCAAGAUCAGUUUUUGGAAGUGCAGAUAACAUUUGUGUAUAAAAUAAUAAUAAUAAUAAAAAAAUGAACAAAUAAUGGAUUUACUGUUAAGGUGUGCCUUUAUGUCAGAUCAUAAAAAGUUGAUAGCCUUAAAUGUUGAAAAAAAAGAAAAAAAAGAAAAAAUAGCAAACAAGCGAUUUGUUUGGAAUUGCAUUGCAUUGUUUUACUUUGUUUUCCAUAUGCUUUUUGUAUCCAAAAAUCUAGUAACCACUUUGAAAAGACUACUUUUGUGCGUCUGUGCCUUUACUUUGUGAAAGUCUCAAAAGGUAGCUUUUUAGAUAAAUGUUGUGCUAGGUUGUGCUCUUUAAACCACCAACUUUUGUCAAUGUAUUUUUAUGGAUAGUAAGAAGAGUUACGAGUAAUUAAAAAAAGACACCCUUCGUAUCACUUCUGCUACCAGACGUAGCACUGUAUGGCAAUUUUGUAACGUACACUCACAUCCAAGUGUGUAGUUUUAGUUGUGUGUGAGACGGUGCACCUUUGACAUUUUUAAGCCAGUUUUGUUGUCGAGAAAAAUUUUAUUAGAGUAAGCGUCGACGGAUACCUAAGCAUUAUAUAGUUUUACCAGAGAAUUGUUACCCGUCACAUUAGGGAAUCUACGUUUACCGAUUAAAGCAUCCGAUCUUCGAUUUUUCAUAUCCCUUAAGGCAUUAUGUAACGCAUUGUUUACUUUGUAAGUUGGCACGUGGCGAUGCUUUAAUUAGUAAUUCGAAGUUUGGCCGAAGUAAUUUAAUGACGAUCGUAACAUCAUUAACUACUUCGGUCUCGUACUGUUACACUUCAGUCUUUGGACAGUGUAAUCGGUAGCUUUCCCUUCCAGUGACUGGUUGUAGAUGUGGAUUGUCAUUUUUACACAGAUUUGCAAUAAAAAAAAUACCAUGUAAAUCACA